rnacentral:rRNA from 1 species
CAGGCGGCAGCUACACAUGCAGUCGAGGGGUAACAUAGAAAAGCUUGCUUUUCUGAUGACGACCGGCGCACGGGUGCGUAACGCGUAUACAACCUACCUUUUAGCGGGGAAUAGCCCAGGGAAACUUGGAUUAAUGCCCCAUAGUAUAUAGACUUCUCCUGAAGUUUAUAUUAAACAUUUAUGGCUAUUAGAUGGGUAUGCGUCCUAUUAGUUAGUUGGUAAGGUAACGGCUUACCAAGGCAGCGAUAGGUAGGGGUCCUGAGAGGGAGAUCCCCCACACUGGUACUGAGACACGGACCAGACUCCUACGGGAGGCAGCAGUGAGGAAUAUUGGACAAUGGGCGAGAGCCUGAUCCAGCCAUGCCGCGUGCAGGAAGACUGCCCUAUGGGUUGUAAACUGCUUUUACAGAGGAAGAACCACCCCCACGUGUGGGGGUUUGACGGUACUCUGCGAAUAAGGAUCGGCUAACUCCGUGCCAGCAGCCGCGGUAAUACGGAGGAUCCAAGCGUUAUCCGGAAUCAUUGGGUUUAAAGGGUCCGUAGGCGGGCAGUUAAGUCAGUGGUGAAAGUCUUCCGCUCAACGGGAGAACUGCCAUUGAUACUGAUUGUCUUGAGUUAUUAUGAAGUGGUUAGAAUGAGUAGUGUAGCGGUGAAAUGCAUAGAUAUUACUCAGAAUACCGAUUGCGAAGGCAGAUCACUAAUAAUAUACUGACGCUGAUGGACGAAAGCGUAGGUAGCGAACAGGAUUAGAUACCCUGGUAGUCUACGCCGUAAACGAUGGUUACUAGCUGUUCGGCCCAAUUGAGGGCUGAGUGGUUAAGCGAAAGUGAUAAGUAACCCACCUGGGGAGUACGUUCGCAAGAAUGAAACUCAAAGGAAUUGACGGGGGCCCGCACAAGCGGUGGAGCAUGUGGUUUAAUUCGAUGAUACGCGAGGAACCUUACCAGGGCUUAAAUGUAGUCUGACAGGUCUGGAAACAGACUUUUCUUCGGACAGAUUACAAGGUGCUGCAUGGUUGUCGUCAGCUCGUGCCGUGAGGUGUCAGGUUAAGUCCUAUAACGAGCGCAACCCCUGUGGUUAGUUGCCAGCGAGUAAUGUCGGGAACUCUAGCCAGACUGCCGGUGCAAACCGCGAGGAAGGUGGGGAUGACGUCAAAUCAUCACGGCCCUUACGUCCUGGGCCACACACGUGCUACAAUGGUAGGGACAGAGAGCAGCCACUUCGCGAGAAGGAGCGAAUCUACAAACCCUAUCACAGUUCGGAUCGCAGUCUGCAACUCGACUGCGUGAAGCUGGAAUCGCUAGUAAUCGCAUAUCAGCCAUGAUGCGGUGAAUACGUUCCCGGGCCUUGUACACACCGCCCGUCAAGCCAUGGAAGCCGGGGGUACCUGAAGUCGGUCACCGCAAGGAGCCGCCUAGUAAACCAGCC